AAAGGAAUAGACGGAAGGGCACCACCAGGAGUGGAGCCUGCGGCUUAAUUUGACUCAACACGGGGAAACUCACCCGGCCCGGACACUGUGAGGAUUGACAGGUUGAAGCCCUUUCUUGAUUCAGUGGGUGGUGGUGCAUGGCCGUUCUUAGUUGGUGGAGUGAUUUGUCUGGUUAAUUCCGAUAACGAACGAGACUCUAGCCUACUAAUUAGACCGUGGCGUCCUUCGUGCCGCCACGGCGCUUCCUAGAGGGACAGACGGCGUUUCAGCCGUAUGAGAAAGAGCAAUAACAGGUCUGUGAUGCCCUUAGAUGUCCGGGGCCGCACGCGCGCUACACUGAAGAGAUCAGCGUGUAUGUGCAUCCUACUCCGAAAGGAGCGGGAAACCGAGUGAACCCUUUUCGUGCUUGGGAUUGGGGAUUGUAAUUAUUCUCCAUGAACGAGGAAUUCCCAGUAAGUGCAAGUCAUCAGCUUGCAUUGAUUACGUCCCUGCCCUUUGUACACACCGCCCGU
rnacentral:rRNA from 1 species